GAUGAAGAACGCAGCGAAAUGCGAUAAGUAAUGUGAAUUGCAGAAUUCAGUGAAUCAUCGAAUCUUUGAACGCACCUUGCGCUCCUUGGUAUUCCGAGGAGCAUGCCUGUUUGAGUGUCAUGAAAUUCUCAACCUUUUCAGCUUUCUUUGUUGAUCAGGCUUGGAUGUGGGAGUAUGCGGGCUUCUCAGAAGUCGGCUCUCCUGAAAUGCAUUAGCGGGACCUUUGUUGCCUGGCUUUGGUGUGAUAAUUAUCUACGCCAUUGUAGUCAAGCAGCUUAAAAUGAGGUUUCAGCUUCUAACCGUCUCCCCUGAGACAACCUUUUGACAAUUUGACCUCAAAUCAGGUAGGACUACCCGCUGAACUUAAGCAUAUCAAUAAGCGGAGGA
rnacentral:misc_RNA from 1 species